AUCAAACUGUCUUGCUAUUUGCAACAUCUAAAACAUUACCAGUUUCAGCUCAAACUGUUGAGCUUAUAUGUGUGGUCUGACUAUCCCUGGAUUCAAAUCAUCAAAAAUUGGAACAACAUGUUCCCGAAUUUGUCUGUCUCGAUCAUCUAUCAUAAAAUGAAUAGGAGGAUUAACAUCCUGACCAUUUGGAUUCAAUGGAUCAUUCAGACCAAGAUCAUUCAAACCAGGAUCAUUCCCUUCC
rnacentral:lncRNA from 1 species